UUAUUUACUGUUUGCAUAUUCUUAUAGGGGAAGGCCAUAAGCUAUUUCUUUCCUGAAAGUUUUCAUGCUUCACCAUUUUCAAAGAGGAUGUAAGAAAAACAAAGGCAAUUUAAAACCAUGGAAAAAUUCUUCUAUAGAGGAGUGA
ensembl:lncRNA